rnacentral:sRNA from 1 species
ACAUAUCGAGAAGAACACAGAGAGGAAGAACAACAACAACAAGAAC